CCUACGGGUGGCAGCAGUGGGGAAUAUUGCACAAUGGGGGGAACCCUGAUGCAGCGACGCCGCGUGAGUGAAGAAGUAUUUCGGUAUGUAAAGCUCUGUCAGCAGGUAAGAAGAAAGACGGUACUUGACCAAGAAGCCCCGGCUAACUACGUGCCAGCAGCCGCGGUAAUACGUAGGGGGCAAGCGUUAUCCGGAUUUACUGGGUGUAAAGGGAGCGUAGACGGCAGGGCAAGUCUGGAGUGAAAGGCUGGGGCCCAACCCCUGGACUGCUCUGGAAACUGUCCGGCUGGAGUGCAGGAGAGGUAAGUGGAAUUCCUAGUGUAGCGGUGAAAUGCGUAGAUAUUAGGAGGAACACCAGUGGCGAAGGCGGCUUACUGGACUGUAACUGACGUUGAGGCUCGAAAGCGUGGGGAGCAAACAGGAUUAGAUACCCUUGUAGUC
rnacentral:rRNA from 1 species